rnacentral:misc_RNA from 1 species
UACGGAGGGUGCGAGCGUUAAUCGGAUUUACUGGGCGUAACGCGUGCGUAGGCGGCUUUUUAAGUCGGAUGUGAAAUCCUCGAGCUUACCUUGGGAAUUGCAUUCGAUAAUGGGAAGCUAGAGUAUGGGAGAGGAUAGUAGAAUUCCAGGUGUAGCGGUGAAAUGCGUAGAGAUCUGGAGGAAUACCGAUGGCGAAGGCAGCCAUCUGGGCUAAUACUGACGCUGAGGUACGAAAGCAUGGGGAGCAAACAUG